CCGUCUCAGUUCGGAUUGCAGGCUGCAACUCGCCUGCAUGAAGCUGGAAUUGCUAGUAAUCGCGGAUCAGCAUGCCGCGGUGAAUACGUUCCCGGGCCUUGUACACACCGCCCGUCACACCAUGAGAGUCGGGAACACCCGAAGUCCGUAGUCUAACCGCAAGGAGGGCGCGGCCGAAGGUGGGUCCGGUAAUUGGGGUGAAGUCGUAACAAGGUAAC
rnacentral:rRNA from 1 species